UACGAAGGGUGCAAGCGUUACUCGGAAUUACUGGGCGUAAAGCGUGCGUAGGUGGUGAGUUAAGUCUGUCGUGAAAGCCCCGGGCUCAACCUGGGAAUGGCGAUGGAUACUGGCUCGCUAGAGUGCGGUAGAGGAGAGUGGAAUUCCCGGUGUAGCAGUGAAAUGCGUAGAGAUCGGGAGGAACAUCAGUUGCGAAGGCGGCUCUCUGGACCAGCACUGACACUGAGGCACGCAAGCGUGGGGAGCAAACAGG
rnacentral:rRNA from 1 species